AGGCCUAAAGAAUAGCUCUAAAAUCUUGGCUUAGGUGCGACUUGGAGAAUCACCUUUGUUAAUCAGUGGGAGUUGCCCAGGUCUUUCAAACUGAGGGUUGGGAGAGAACAUAAAGAUCUCUAAAUCCCUGGAUCCGGGAGAACCGAUGUGCAGUGUUGCAGCUGUAGAAAACAAUGCUGUGUUUUAUUGGGUGCUUGACAUCUGCUGGGAGAGUGGAUCUUAACCUAAACAAAAUGAAGGACAAAAGGCAAAACUCUAAGGCUAUUUCAAGAUUGGAAUUUGAAGAGUUUACAUGUGUUUUCUCUUGGAAGAUGAGAACACAAGCAGCAGGCAGACGCAGAGGACGUGUUUUGAAUGUUUGCUGUGCUGGGGAAGCUGUGGACAAAGGCAAGCUGACUCAUCUUCGAGUGGACUGGGAUUGGUCCUUGUGACUAAUAAUGUACUUAUGUUCUCCCUCAUGGCUGGCUUGUCCCUCUCCUUCCUGGAUCAGCAUGACUUUAUCCCCUCUUAGUAUUUAAGAAUGUCACUGUAUAUAUUUUUAUGAUGGCUUCUUUCAUUUAUAUUGUUAAUUUUACAUUAUUAAAUUUCAGUUAAAACUA